GCCGACUUAGCUCAGCAGGCAGAGCAACUGACUUGUAAUCAUCAGGUCACCGGUUCGAUUCCGGUAAUCGGCACCA
rnacentral:tRNA from 1 species